AUUCCAGCUCCAAUAGCGUAUAUUAAAGUUGUUGCAGUUAAAAAGCUCGUAGUUGGAUUUCGGAAUGGGUCAGUUGGUCCGCCGCAAGGUGAGUUACUGACUGAUUUGUUCUUCUUCGCAAAGACUGCGUGUGCUCUUUACUGAGUGUACGUAGGAUUUACGACGUUUACUUUGAAAAAAUUAGAGUGUUCAAAGCAGGCUAUCGCUUGAAUACAUGAGCAUGGAAUAAUGGAAUAGGACUUUGGUUCUAUUUUGUUGGUUUCUAGGACCGAAGUAAUGAUUAAGAGGGACAAUUGGGGGCAUCCGUAUUUCGUUGUCAGAGGUGAAAUUCUUGGACCGUCUGAAGACUGACUACUGCGAAAGUAUUUGCCAAGAGUGUUUUCAUUG
rnacentral:rRNA from 1 species